rnacentral:lncRNA from 1 species
AAGAAAGGCAAAAGGCCAUAAGGGAGCGUGCGGGGGCUGCCUCUUCCUGAAUGCGGCGAAGAAACCUCUUCCCCGUUGUUACACCCCAGGAACAGGUCCCUGUUCAUCUUCUGGCGGUGGCACGCGGAGGUUUGGUGCGCUACAUGUCCAUAAAAAGAGCUCCUGUUCCUGCAAGCAGCACCCUCAAGUCAGCCGCAAAGGCUGUGCAACCCCUUUGGUCCCUCCAGACCUCUCCAGGGAUGGGACCUCAGCGCCAGGCCCGCAGGGCUCAUGGGAGCAGGCGAAGUCCAGCAGCGCGUGGCACCAGCCCAGCAAACAGCCACCGCAGGGCUCUUUGCGGCCGAGCGGCCAGACCUGAGCCGUGAAGCCUGCUGGCGUUGUGCUCUCUGCACCAUCGCGCCGAGCUGCAGGAAGCCCCGGCGUCGGCCCGCUCACAGCUCAACUUGCCGGCUGCUCC